rnacentral:rRNA from 1 species
AUUGAACGCUGGCGGAAUGCCUAACACAUGCAAGUCGAGCGGGGUGUAGCAAUACACCUAGCGGCGGACGGGUGAGCAAUACAUAGGAAUCUACCUCUCAGUGGGGGAGUAGCCCGGGGAAACCCGGGACGUUAAUACCGCAUGAUGUCGCAAGAACCAAACGACGGGGGACCGGUAACGGCCUCGCGCUGGAAGAUGAGCCUAUGUCUGAUUAGCUAGUU